UUGUGGAGUGGGUUUAUGCCAGGAGCCCUGAAGUGGUCCAGCGCUACGCCCUGCCCGUGCUCUGGUCCUGCCUGGAGAACAAGGCGCUGCCUGUCCGAAGCGCCAACGUCUGCGCUGUGGUCACCAAGCUUGCCUGUGCCCUCUGCGAGGUGAUGGGCACCCAGCUGAUCAAGUCUGCUGAGAGCAAGCCCCCACACGUGCAGGAAAACCUCUCCAGCCUUUUGGGCUGGUGAAGGUACAAUGUUCUCCAGAAAUCUGAGAAAGGUCUGAGAUGGACACGUCCGGAUGGGAGUUUUAGCUGUGCCAAAAAUGACCAAAUACUAAGGAAGGGUGUGCAUCUGUCCCGCUCUCUCCAUCGCCCUUCCUAGUCAUGGCAUGGGGGGGCCUGAAGACCAAGAAUGGAUCAGGCUCACACAGAGGCCUGACUGGCUUCCCUCUUGCCAAGAGGUUUCCUCUGCAAGUCCUUCAAUGCUCCUUCCCUCCAAGCCGUUGCUGCCCAUCCCCAAGAUCUCUACUUCUCCCAAAGCAAGCAAGAUGUUCCAUGGAGAGAAGGAGAUGGCGAAACCUGGCACCGAUUGGGAUCAGAAGAUUAGACACAAACAGCUGACUUCAGAGGGAAAAGGAACUAAGGCGUGACUGGCUCCACUAUUGCCCAGAAUCUUCCCCAGACACAUCCCGCUUCAAUCCUUCCCUCCAAGCACUUGCCUCCCAUCCGAGAGAGCUCUUCUCCAAUCAAGCCAAGCACAAUGUAUGAUGGAGAGAAGGAGAAAGGGAAAACUAGUGCUGGCUAUGGAAAGAUAUCGGAAGAAGCAGUCAGGAGCAGACUUCAGAGGGAAAAGGAUGUAAGACCUCCUUGCCGUGUUCCACUGGUGGGGAAAUGAAGAAGGGGUCACUGGGACUUCCUUUGAUCCCCCCAAUAUGCAAGGCAGGAAGUCUUCCCGAUGACAGUGCUGCAGGGUCUCUGUGCACCUCUCCCCACAUGGAUCUCCAGGAGUCCUGGGAGAUGAGGCCAAGACCCAGCAGCAGAAGACAAGAGAAGAAGUCUGAAACUGCAGCUUCUUCUGAAUCUACAACAAAAGCCCAGAGAAAGAAGGAAAAGAGCUCUCAGUGUAAGACAGGACCUGGGAUGCCUCAGUUCCCAAGGCAACUCACAGACCUGUUUGGCUUGGAAUAGAGACAUGCCUGGCCUUGGGAAUGGAGGUCUGGGCUCCCGGCUGGCUCAGGGGGCCUUGGCCCAGGGGCCCCUUGAGCAUGGAUCAGCCUCACAAAGAGGCCUGACUGUCUCCACUAUGACGAAGAAUCUUCCCCAGACACAUCCUCUUGAAUGCUUCCCUCCAAACUGUUGCCUCCCAUCUGUGAGAGCUCUUCUCCCAUCAAGCCAAGCACGAUGUAUGAUGGAGAGAAAGAAAAAGGGAAAACUAGUGCUGGCUAUAGAAAGAUAUCGGAAGAAGCAGUCAGGAGCAGACUUCAGAGGGAAAAGGAUGUAAGACCUCCUUGCCGUGUUCCACUGGUGGGGAAAUGAAGAAGGGGUCACUGGGACUUCCUUUGAUCCCCCCAAUAUGCAAGGCAGGAAGUCUUCCCGAUGACAGUGCUGCAGGGUCUCUGUGCACCUCUCCCCACAUGGAUCUCCAGGAGUCCUGGGAGAUGAGGCCAAGACCCAGCAGCAGAAGACAAGAGAAGAAGUCUGAAACUGCAGCUUCUUCUGAAUCUACAACAAAAGCCCAGAGAAAGAAGGAAAAGAGCUCUCAGUGUAAGACAGGACCUGGGAUGCCUCAGUUCCCAAGGCAACUCACAGACCUGUUUGGCUUGGAAUAGAGACAUGCCC